rnacentral:rRNA from 1 species
UACGUAGGGGGCAAGCGUUGUCCGGAUUUAUUGGGCGUAAAGAGCGUGUAGGCGGCCAGACAGGUCAGCUGUGAAAACUCGAGGCUCAACCUCGAGACGUCGGUUGAAACCGUCUGGCUAGAGUCCGGAAGAGGAGAGUGGAAUUCCCGGUGUAGCGGUGAAAUGCGCAGAUAUCGGGAAGAACACCCGUGGCGAAGGCGGCUCUCUGGGACGGUACUGACGCUGAGACGCGAAAGCAUGGGGGAGCGAACGGG